UGUCCAGUAAUUCCUAUCCCUACCUCCCCGUGGUGCGAGUAUCCGUUGGUUGGACCUUGGUCAUAUGCUGACAGGGAAGG
rnacentral:ribozyme from 1 species